rnacentral:snoRNA from 1 species
AGGUCUAUCUGGGUUUGGACUCUUCGGUACGGAGUAUCCGUACAAGGUGUAAUGAUGUGAAUGUUGGAUCUUGCACCAAAUUCAGAUAUAUUGACCAUUCUUCGACGUCCUUGUAUAUCUUUUUCCCGCAAAUAUUGCCUGAUAUACCAGGCGAUCAUCCCCUUUAACAGGCGAUUGAUUUUAUUCUUUCAAGUCGUCGCCCUGGAAGGCCCCCGAGUACCGAGAAGGUCUGCCACCUCCGGAGAAUGGAGAUUGCCCGUCAAGCGGGAGAUCUAGUUUCAUGGAUCGUUCGGGAAUCCGAUCUCUCUUGCCAACCUCAGGGCAUAGAUAUCAGAAGACAAGGGAUGCCAGUACUCAACAUUGGCCAGCAAUCUGGAUCCUCAGAUCGUCGAUUAGCAGCGUGACACUAUCAAACAAGCUUUUCAAAUAUG